rnacentral:rRNA from 1 species
GACGAACGCUGGCGGCGUGCUUAACACAUGCAAGUCGAGCGGAAAGGCCCUUCGGGGUACUCGAGCGGCGAACGGGUGAGUAACACGUGAGUAACCUGCCCCAGACUUUGGGAUAACCCUCGGAAACGGGGGCUAAUACCGGAUACGACACAGCUUCGCAUGGGGUCUGUGUGGAAAGUUUUUCGGUUUGGGAUGGGCUCGCGGCCUAUCAGCUUGUUGGUGGGGUGAUGGCCUACCAAGGCGACGACGGGUAGCCGGCCUGAGAGGGCGACCGGCCACACUGGGACUGAGACACGGCCCAGACUCCUACGGGAGGCAGCAGUGGGGAAUAUUGCACAAUGGGCGGAAGCCUGAUGCAGCGACGCCGCGUGAGGGAUGACGGCCUUCGGGUUGUAAACCUCUUUCAGCAGGGACGAAGCGUAAGUGACGGUACCUGCAGAAGAAGCGCCGGCCAACUACGU